rnacentral:rRNA from 1 species
GAUGAACGCUGGCGGCGUGCCUAAUACAUGCAAGUCGAGCGAACGGACGAGAAGCUUGCUUCUCUGAUGUUAGCGGCGGACGGGUGAGUAACACGUGGAUAACCUACCUAUAAGACUGGGAUAACUUCGGGAAACCGGAGCUAAUACCGGAUAAUAUUUUGAACCGCAUGGUUCAAAAGUGAAAGACGGUCUUGCUGUCACUUAUAGAUGGAUCCGCGCUGCAUUAGCUAGUUGGUAAGGUAACGGCUUACCAAGGCAACGAUGCAUAGCCGACGUGAGAGGGUGAUCGGCCGCACGGGAAGUGAGACACGGUCCAGACGCCUACGGGAGGCAGCAGUAGGGAAUCUGCCGCAAUGGGCGAAAGCCUGACGGAGCAACGCCGCGUGAGUGAUGAAGGUCUUCGGAUCGUAAAACCCUGUUAUUAGGGAAGAACAUAUGUGUAAGUAACUGUGCACAUCUUGACGGUACCUAAUCAGAAAGCCACGGCUAACUACGUG